CAAAAGCGGAAAGAGGUUAAUAAAAUCAUCCAUUCAUUCGCCAAAUCGCGAAACUGGCAAAUAAUUUCGCAUGAAAAUAUAGACUCGAACUGUCUAAACAAAAGGAAAUUACAUCUUAAUCCGCGUGGAACAAUCAGCUUAGCAAAAAAUUUUAAAAACUAUUUGUCUAAUUUAAAUAAUUGAGAUAGAGAUAGAAGCGAUGAUGUUUAUAUGGCUGACAAACUUGAUCUCCCACAGGUAAGAG